UACGAAGGGGGCUAGCGUUGCUCGGAAUUACUGGGCGUAAAGCGCACGUAGGCGGCUUCUUAAGUCAGGGGUGAAAUCCUGGAGCUCAACUCCAGAACUGCCUUUGAUACUGAGGACCUCGAGUCCGGGAGAGGUGAGUGGAACUCCGAGUGUAGAGGUGAAAUUCGUAGAUAUUCGGAAGAACACCAGUGGCGAAGGCGGCUCACUGGCCCGGUACUGACGCUGAUGUGCGAAAGCGUGGGGAGCAAACAGG
rnacentral:rRNA from 1 species